AAAACUUUCAACAACGGAUCUCUUGGUUCUGGCAUCGAUGAAGAACGCAGCGAAAUGCGAUAAGUAAUGUGAAUUGCAGAAUUCAGUGAAUCAUCGAAUCUUUGAACGCACAUUGCGCCCUCUGGUAUUCCAGAGGGCAUGCCUGUUCGAGCGUCAUU
rnacentral:rRNA from 1 species